rnacentral:rRNA from 1 species
AUCUACAACCAUACCACCCUGAACAUGCCUGAUCUCGUCUGAUCUCAGGAGCUAAGCAGGGUCAGGCCUGGUUAGUACUUGGGAGAAUAAACCCAAAUAUAUCAAUACCUACAUGGCCUAAAGGAGAUGGGCAUA